rfam:Pristionchus pacificus strain PS312 contig9807, whole genome shotgun sequence.
UCUUCAUUUCACACACUCUCUCACCGGUCAGAGCGGCGAGAGAGUGUGCGAAAUGAAGAGA